AGAGUUUGAUUAUGGCUCAGGAUGAACGCUAGCGGCAGGCCUAAUACAUGCAAGUCGAACGGGAAGGGCGCCUUCGGGUGCCCUGAGAGUGGCGCACGGGUGCGCAACGCGUAUGCAACCAACCCCCGACGGGCGGAUAGCCGGUGGAAACGCCGGAUAAUACGCCAUGGUUCCGUGUGAGGGCAUCCUCACAUGGAUAAAGCCGAGAGGCGGUCGGGGACGGGCAUGCGUCCCAUUAGGUAGUCGGCGGGGUGACGGCCCACCGAGCCGGUGAUGGGUAGGGGAUCUGAGAGGACGGUCCCCCACACUGGUACUGAGACACGGACCAGACUCCUGCGGGAGGCAGCAGUAAGGGAUAUUGGUCAAUGGUCGGAAGACUGAACCAGCCAUGCCCGCGUGAGGGAAUGAGGCCCUACGGGUCGUGAACCUCUUUUAUUCGGGGACAAGGACUCCCACGUGAUGGGAGUUUGAGGGUACCGAAGGAAUAAGCGUCGGCUAACUCCGUGCCAGCCGCUGC
rnacentral:rRNA from 1 species